ACACAGGUGGUCGGGUAGAGAAUACCAAGGCGCUUGAGAGAACUCGGGUGAAGGAACUAGGCAAAAUGGUACCGUAACUUCGGGAGAAGGUACGCUCUCGACGGUGAAGUCCCUCGCGGAUGGAGCUAUUGAGAGUCGCAGAUACCAGGUGGCUGCAACUGUUUAUUAAAAACACAGCACUGUGCAAAAUCGUAAGAUGACGUAUACGGUGUG
rnacentral:rRNA from 2 species